rnacentral:tRNA from 1 species
GGGGCUGUAGUAUAACUUGGCUAGAACCCUAGGUUCGGGACCUAGAGAUCCGUGUUCGAAUCACGGCAGCCCCA